GUUGAGAUGGUUGAGUUGGUUUAAGGCGUCAAAUUAAAAUUCUAGUCUGAAAAGGUGUGACUUCAAAUCUCACUCUCAACA
rnacentral:tRNA from 1 species